GAAGACCUUACCCGACUUAGCUGAGAGGUGGUGCAUGGCCGUCGUCAGUUCGUACUGUGAAGCAUCCUGUUAAGUCAGGCAACGAGCGAGACCCACGUCCACAGUUGCCAGCAUACCCUCCGGGGUGAUGGGUACACUGUGGAGACCGCCGCUGCUAAAGCGGAGGAAGGAGUGGGCAACGGUAGGUCAGUAUGCCCCGAAUCUCCCGGGCUACACGCGGGCUACAAUGGUUGGUACAAUGGGCAUCUACCCCGAAAGGGGAAGGAAAUCUCUUAAAGCCAAUCGUAGUUCGGAUUGAGGGCUGCAACUCGCCCUCAUGAAGCUGGAAUCCGUAGUAAUCGCGUUUCAACAGAACGCGGUGAAUACGUCCCUGCUCCUU
rnacentral:rRNA from 1 species